UGUUAAAAGAUAACGCAGGUGUC
rnacentral:siRNA from 1 species